rnacentral:rRNA from 1 species
UACGUAGGGUGCGAGCGUUAAUCGGAAUUACUGGGCGUAAAGCGUGCGCAGGCGGUUUUUUAAGACAGGCGUGAAAUCCCCGGGCUUAACCUGGGAACUGCGUUUGUGACUGGAAGGCUAGAGUAUGGCAGAGGGGGGUGGAAUUCCUGGUGUAGCAGUGAAAUGCGUAGAUAUCAGGAGGAACAUCGAUGGCGAAGGCAGCCCCUUGGACCUGUACUGGCGCUCAUGCACGAAAGCGUGGGGAGCAAACAGG